UAUUAUUUUGGCAGAUUAGUGCAAUGGAUUUAGAAUCCUUUUAUGUAAUUUAAAUUACAAAUAAUAU
rnacentral:tRNA from 1 species